GGGUUGUAGCUCAGUGGUAGCACAUUUGCCUUGUAUUCAGAAGGUCUCAGGUUCAAUUCCUGGCGUUUCCA